GAAAUGGUUUGCGAAGAAUAAACAAACCACUUCAGGUUUUCUCAGAACGACAGAAAAAACAAAUCGAAGAACACAGGCAGGUAGAUUGGUAAAUAAACCAAGAGAUUUUUCAAAGUCCGUAAGAAUAACAACAAAACUAAAAAAAAAAUUAUUAUAGUAAGAUACCAAAAUAAGUAACGUAACACUGAUGCUGGCGGUAAUGGUGGUGGUGUCGUGGUAGUAAUGGU